GGUGAUUGGUUUGUUUUUUUGUCUGUGUUUGUAUAUGUAGACACUCCUUCCUCUCUUAAGCUGCAGGAGGACGUUUCUGCUCGUCCAUCUCCCUCCUUCACGCACUUUCCCUCGCAGGCUUUUUUUUCUUUCCCUUUAUCCUUCCCCUGUUUUGUCUGCUUGUUUCUUCCUCCUCCUUUCUUCUGCCUCUCUCCCCCCACUGGGGGCUGAUUGCAUUCCUGCCAGAAGGGGCAGAGGUGUCUGUGAUCCGGUUAAAGACCACACUUCUUCUCUUCCACUGUUCUCUCCCUCAUGUUGUUUACCGCACCCCCUCCCUGGGAAAAUGGAAGCACCCUCCUUCCUGUAUCCGAGUGAUUUUUGAACGCCGGCAGUCAUGCGGGGCCUACCUUUGUCAUCCAACUGACACGUGAUACCGGGAUCCUUCUCCAAGGCAGCUCCGCCGGGAUCUGGUCAGAGAGAGGCAGUGAAACAGACUUCAGAUCAGCAGAUCCAUUUUCUUUGGACUUUGAAUAUUUCAUGUGGGGAGUCAUGCAGCAGACGCACAAAUGGGCUAAAUAACAACAACAACGACGCACACACAAUCAAUGUGCUUGAUUAAAUAUGACAUGCAGUAAAA